GCUCAGUUGGUUGAGCGUCCAACUCUUGAUUUCAGCUCAGGUCAUGAUCCCGGGGUCAUGGGAUCAAGUCCCACAUUGGGCU
rnacentral:tRNA from 1 species